CCUUGAUUACUUCUUAUUUGGUAUGUUGCAGUUUAACCUUCUUUUUUGCACCAUGUACAACUUGAAAUUAAGAGGUUUUGUUCUUUCAACUAACUAUACUUUUUCUUGUAAGCUACAUCAGAUGCAUGAGAAUAAAUAUAUUUUUGUAUCAUGUGACCAACUUCACCCUAAGUUUUUGAAGAGAUUCUUCAUGCGAGCACAUUAAUGAAUUUGGGGUACAACAAUGCAGAUCCCGAAAAAAGAAGACAAUUGGAUUGGCCAUUACGUUAUAAAAUAGUAUUCGGGAUUGCUCGAGGAAUGCUUUAUCUACAUGAAGAUUCUCGUCUCCGAAUUAUCCAUCGUGACCUAAAAUGUGGCAAUAUCUUGUUAGACAGUGAAAUGAACCCAAAAAUUGCAGAUUUUGGCAUGGCAAGGAUUUUCGAGGUCGAUCAAACUCAGGCUAGCACAAAUAAAAUCGUGGGGACUUUGUAAGUUAGUUUUGAAUAGAUGACUUUAUAAUUGGAUGCCAGACUUGCUCAUUUUAUCUAUUUAUGGAUGCUCACUAAUCUGCAUCUAGAUAUGCUAUAUACAUAUGGCUAAUGUUCGAAUUUGCAGUGGUUACAUGUCUCCAGAAUAUGCAAUGCAUGGAGAGUUCUCGGUGAAAUCGGAUGUUUAUAGUUUCGGCAUACUACUUCUAGAGAUCAUUUGUGGCAAGAAGAAUAACUUAUACCAGGAUGAAUAUCUUGCUGGUUAUGUAAGUUUCACCAUGCUACCAAGACAAUUUUUUACAUUGUAUAUUAGUAAUUUUCCCCAAGUGAAAUUGAAAUUCCUGUAAAACUUAGUCCUUUGGCCUACAUAAACACUUGUCAAUUAUCCUAUUCCUUGGUCAUAUAUGGUUUUUUUUUUUUGGAAGAUUUUAGAUGUCUUGCAUGAUGAGUCAUUGACUUAAUGCUGCAAUUUUGUGAAGAUUUUCUGAAAUUAUUCUUGUAGGCAUGGAAUCAAUGGAGAGACGGCACACCUUUGAAAGUGUUGGACCCGGCUAUUGUGGAUUCAAAUUCAAGAGAUCAAGUGCUUCGAUGCCUACAUAUUUGCUUGCUAUGCAUUCAAGAAGAUCCAGCUGUUAGACCCACCAUGACAACCGUAGUUCUCUUGCUCAGCAGCAAUUCCAUUACACCACCAUCGCCCCAACAUCCAGCCUUUUUUGUCCAAAUGAAAGGGCCUGAAUCAGACCAAUCCACCAAGAGGAUUAUGCCUUUUUCGAUCAAUGACAUGUCGCUUACCGAAUUAUACCCCCGGUGAAUGGCGGCGUAAGCGACAUCUUUCUUCAUGGAUAGGCUUGUGGUAAAUUAAAUAUCAUUUCUUUACACCACUAAUGUACACAUUAAAAUCUAUUCACCAAAUUCCAUCGCCACAAACUCCUAGCGAUCCAGUCAUGAAAAUUAGUCCGAAAUACUAUUAUCGAGUAUGGAAAUUUCUAGAUGUCACAUAGCCACCGGCAAGAUAGGUGAAGACCUUACCAAAUGAAGAGUUUGGUCGCCUUGCCACGAGAUGUUAUCUUGACCAUGGUCAAUAUCUAAGCACAAGAUUGGCCAACGAAAUGGACCAUUGGUGUGUGAUUUUGAUGACAUUGAUCAAUGGAUAAGACUAUUGAUAUUUGUUUUGAUAUUAUUGUGAAAUGGAUAUUUCUGCUAUAAAUAUAGCUAUGUUGAAGCGUAUAUAACUCAUUUUCUUCUUAUAAGUAUGUUAUAUCAUGAAAUUCAAUAUAACAAGUUAUGUUUUGUGUCUUAAACAUGCAUAGCAAAUGUUCAAUCUGCUUAGAAGAGAUGCACACUACUCACUGAAAUAUGAUUACUCACGCCUUUCCUUCCUAAAAUUUUUGGUUUCCUUGGUUAGCGGCCAGUAGAGUAAAAGCGCUACAUGAAGACUUAUGGGAGUUGAUUUUUGUAUGGUUUGAGACUACAUCUUUUGGGUGGAAUGAUGGCUGUGUUAUUCCCCAUAUUUUUCGUCCUUCGGGUUGAAGGACAAUAAUUGCAAAUAUAUCUUCAAUCCGAGGCUUUCCAAGUACAAUUGUUUGAGACAUUUAACUAAAAUAUGGUACCACUAGUUUCCUCCAUCAAUGCUUGCCCCGAUACUACUUUUUUGGGGAGAGACGACAACAAUUCAAUAGAGACUAAGCCUAUUCAAAAUCAAUAUCUUCCUCAAAACUCAACUUAUUUAUAUCAAAUCAACCUUAGAUACGGCACACUCUCUACCUCUUUCUUUCUUUUUCUGCAAUAAAAUGCUGCUACUCUCCCUUCUCCACUGCUGAGAACAUUUGGCCCUCUUUUUAUUUCCUUUAUUUCGACUUUUGCUCUUUUUUUUUUAAGGGAAAAGAGCAUUAGAAGUCCUAAAACUUGUGACGAAAGUGUGAUUGAGUUCUAAAAUUUUUAAAAAGUGCAAUCAAGUCCUAAAAUUUUUCAUGAGAGUGCAAUUAAGCUUUAAAACUUUUUAAAAUGUCAUCAUGUCUUAAAAGUUGUCAAAUUAGUCCAUCUAAGUCAUUGUCUUGAUUGCACUUUUUGAAAAUUUUGACUCGAUUGUAUUUUUGUUAUAAAUUUUAGGAUGUUGAGUGCACUAAUUUCUUUUUUCAAAGAUGUGAUGGGACUAUGAGGCAUACUUAGCCCAUCACAGUGCAUACGUUAAAUGAGAUCCAACCUGUCCUUGACUUCAAUUUGCUCUGCAAGUCUUCUCUUGUGAACAAAACGAGGAAAAACUCCAAUUUAGUUGACUUGACUGACUUAUGGUACAAGCAACAUUUCUUGUAUAAUCAAAUGUCUUGUAGAGUCAACUACUAGGAGGUCGCAAUAGGGGCCCAAUAGGGGAUCAUCACCUUGCACACGCUCAAUGGGAUCCAAUGUGUCCUUGAUGUCAAUUUGCUUUACAAGUCUUCUCUUGCUAUCAAAACAAGGAAAAACUCACAAGUUAGUUGGCUUGACCGACUUAUGGUACGAGCAACCUAAGUGGCUUGUAUAAUCAAAGUUUUGUAGAAUUACCACAAGGGGUUGCAAUAGGGGCCCAAUAGGGGAAAAAGAAGGAUCCGCAAAAAGAAAGUCUUGUAAAUUUCCUUUGUUCCUCCGAUAAUAACUACAUCAUGUAUAUUAGGUGAAUUGCGUGUAGACUUGUGGUUUAUAAAAAUAGCCAUAGUUCUAACUAGACACACCCCUAUAUAAAUAUCUUAUGAAUAUCUCUUCUUAGCCAUCCAAUCAUCAAUACCUCCUCUUCUAAUUCACUAUUUAUAGACACACCCCCAUACAAAUAUCUUAGGAAUAUCUCUUCUUAGCCAUCCAAUCAUCAAUACGUAAAUUUUUCCCUCUUCUUAAGUUUUACCAAACAAUAACUACAACUCAUGCUGGCCCAAACAAUAACUGCAACUCAUGCUAGUCCCUAGUAUAUAACUAGAAAAUUUCUUACAACCUUUUUCUAGAAAACCUUUAUUUGACCAAGCACCUUCUACAUCAUAUAAACACCAUUUUACCAAACAAUAACUACAACUCAUGCUGGCCCCAGUAUAAAACUAGAAAAUUUCUUACAACCUUUUUCUAGAAAACCUUUAUUUGACCAGGCCCUUCUACAUCAUAUAAACACCAUUCACAUUGGAAGAUUAACUUUAGUUAUUGUCGCUUGUAUGGUUGGUCCAUCUUUUGAUCUAGUCUUCCCCUUACACACACUUGCAAACGGCGAGUGCGAACCAUCCUCCUCCUCGCAAAUUAGGUUUUCAAUUUAAUUUUUUAGUGAACAUUUGUCAUUGUCUUAUAAAACUUUAGGUAGAUUUCAUUUUAUAGUUGGUAUUUAAAAUAUGUCUUUUAUCUAGCCAUCUAUGUGAGUCUCCAAAUUUAGCGCAUGUUUGCCUUUCAAUUUAAGUGCAAAGAUUAAAUCCAAUGAUGUUAGGAUUUUUCAAUGCAAAAAUCGCUGAUCUUCUUAGAAAUGACUAAAUAUUUUGAAUUUAUCAAAAAAAAAAUUGAGGUCACGAGAUAAAAAUAGGGCUUAUUGAUCUAUUUAUCUAUUGUAGUGAAAAAAAAGGGGGUUUUAGACUUUUGACUAGACAAAAUAUUAAUCCAUCUACACAUUGCACUUUGAUUAUGCCAAUGUUACUUAGAUAUAGUGUCAAUUGAGAAACGUGUAUAUGAUGGAGAAGGGCAAAAAUACUAAAUAACUAACAAAAUUGGUAGUCAAAUACCCAACAACUCAGCAAAAUAUUUCGGGUGGAUUAAAGUCCAAUUUGUUCUUGUUUGCAAAUCAAUUCUAAAUAUUUUAAGUAGUAAGUAUAUUGGAAGUCCUAAAGCUUGUUAUAAAAAUAUAAGUAAGUCCUAAAACUUGUCAUACAAGUGUAAUUGAGUCCCAAAAUCAUCAAAAAAAUAUAAUCAAAUCCUAAGACUUGUCAAAUUUGUCCCAUAAAAUCCUUAUGUUGAUUUCAUUUUUCUGAAAGUUUUAGAGCUUGAUUGUACUUUUUUGAAAGUUGUAGGAGACAUUUGCACUUUUCGCAAUAAGUUUUAUAACUUAAUUGUACUUUUUGAAAAUUUUAAGACUUAGUUGUACUUUCAUAAUAAAUUUUAUGACUCAAUUGCACUUUCAUAAUAAGUUUUAGGACUUCCAAUGNNNNNNNNNNNNNNNNNNNNNNNNNNNNNNNNNNNNNNNNNNNNNNNNNNNNNNNNNNNNNNNNNNNNNNNNNNNNNNNNNNNNNNNNNNNNNNNNNNNNCUUGGAUUUUGCUUGGAGGGAGCGGAAAAGCUACUAGUCUACGAGUUUGUGCCAAAUAAAAGCCUUGAUUACUUCUUAUUUGGUAUGUUGCAAUUUAACCUUCUUUUUUGCACCAUGUACAACUUGAAAUUAAGAGGUUUUGUUCUUUCAACUAACUAUACUUUUUCUUGUAAGCUACAUCAGAUGCAUGAGAAUAAAUAUAUUUUUGUAUCAUGUGACCAACUUCACCCUAAUUUUUUGAAGAGAUUCUUCAUGCAAGCACAUUA
rnacentral:lncRNA from 1 species